UGCCAGCAGCCGCGGUAAUACGGAGGGGGCAAGCGUUAUUCGGAAUUAUUGGGCGUAAAGGGCGUGUAGGCGGCUUCGUGUGUCUUCUGUGAAAGCCCUCGGCUCAACCGAGGAAUUGCAGGGGAAACUGCGGAGCUCGAGUCCGGGAGAGGAGAGCGGAAUUCCCAGUGUAGCGGUGAAAUGCGUAGAUAUUGGGAGGAACACCGGUGGCGAAGGCGGCUCUCUGGACCGAUAUUGACACUGAGGUGCGAAAGCGUGGGGAGCAAACAGGAUUAGAUA
rnacentral:rRNA from 1 species